CUACGGGUGGCUGCAGUGGGGAAUAUUGCACAAUGGAGGAAACUCUGAUGCAGCAACGCCGCGUGGAGGAUGACACUUUUCGGAGCGUAAACUCCUUUUAUAUAGGAAGAAGAUGACGGUACUAUAUGAAUAAGCGCCGGCGAACUCCGCGCCAGCAGCCGCGGUAAUACGGAGGGCGCAAGCGUUACUCGGAAUCACUGGGCGUAAAGAGCGUGUAGGCGGAUUAAAAAGUCAGAAGUGAAAUCCUAUAGCUUAACUAUAGAACGCUUCGGAAACUCUUAAUCUAGAAUAUGGGAGAGGUAGAUGGAAUUUCUGGGGUAGGGGUAAAAUCCGUAGAGAUCAGAAGGAAUACCGAUUGCGAAGGCGAUCUACUAGAACAUUAUUGACGCUGAGACGCGAAAGCGUGGGGAGCAAACAGGAUUAGAUACCCGGGUAGUC
rnacentral:rRNA from 1 species